CCUACGGGUGGCAGCAGUAGGGAAUAUUGCUCAAUGGGGGAAACCCUGAAGCAGCAACGCCGCGUGGAGGCUGAAGGUUUUCGGAUUGUAAACUCCUUUUGUCCGAGAAGAUAAUGACGGUAUCUAACGAAUAAGCACCGGCUAACUACGUGCCAGCAGCCGCGGUACUACGGAGGGUGCACGCGUUACUCGGAAUCACUGGGCGUAAAGAGCGCGGAGGCGGGAUAGCAAGUCAGAUGUGAAAUCCUAUGGCUUAACCAUAGAACUGCAUUUGAAACUGUUAUUCUAGAGUAUGGGAGAGGUAGGUGGAAUUCUUGGUGUAGGGGUGAAAUGCGUAGAGAUCAAGAGGAAGACUCGUGGCGAAGGCGACCUGCUAGAACAUAACUGACGCUGAGGCGCGAAAGCGUGGGGAGCAAACAGGAUUAGAUACCCCUGUAGUC
rnacentral:rRNA from 1 species